UACGUAGGGGGCAAGCGUUGUCCGGAUUUACUGGGCGUAAAGAGCGUGUAGGGCGGCCAAACAGGUCCGUUGUGAAAACUGGACGGCUCAACCAUCCAGACGUCGACGGAAACCGUGUGGCUGAGUCCGGAAGAGGCGAGUGGAAUUCCUGGUGUAGCGGUGAAAUGCGCAGAUAUCAGGAAGAACACCAAUGGCGAAGGCAGCUCUCUGGGACGGUACUGACGCUGAGACGCGAAAGCGUGGGGAGCAAACAGG
rnacentral:rRNA from 1 species